AAGCAUAUCAGUAAGCGGAGGAAAAGAAAACAACUGUGAUUCCCUUAGUAACUGCGAGUGAAGCGGGAAAAGCCCAUCGUUAAAUCCUCCUGUCUAUAGGCAGGACGACGUGUAACGGUACGGAUAGGUCGACUACCAACAAAAUCCAAUCAAAGUCCUCCGGAUUGAGGUGCCAAAGAGGGUGACAGCCCCGUAUACGAUUGGACAAUGUUGGGUAUGUAGCCAAAUCCCAGAGUCGGGUUGUUUGGGACUGCAACCUAAAGCAGGUGGUAAACUCCACCCAAGGCUAAAUAUAGACACGAAACCGAUAGCGAACAAGUACUGUGAGGGAAAGUUGAAAAGAACUCUGAAAAGAGAGUUAAAAGUACGUGAAACCGCUAACGGGGAAGCGGAAAGCAGUGUCGAGAUCUUGUGUGUGACUCUAGUUAAGUAUAUCACUUGCAAAAGUAAAUGUAUUUAUCUAGGCUAGCAUUACUUGAUGCGUCAGGCCUAUUGGUGCCAAAUAUGAUACAAUUAUUUACAUGGCCUGUAUGAUAGCUCAUGGCACAAUUUCCAAAUUGUACUGUGGGUCCAUUAAGGCGGUAGACAAUCAAUCGUAUGUGCUGAUAUGUGUGGUGAUGAGACGUUGAUGGUGUUUUAUUCUAUUACAUCGGUUGAUGUUAUACGAUACCGUAGAUUGAUUACAAUGUAGUCACAUAUGCGGGAUAUGUUGUGUAACUAUGCAAUAAUCAAUGUCAGUAUCUGACGAGAUACCCAACUUUCC
rnacentral:rRNA from 1 species